rnacentral:rRNA from 1 species
GCUUGUCUCAAAGAUUAAGCCAUGCAUGUCUAAGUAUAAAUAAUUCUAUACUGUGAAACUGCGAAUGGCUCAUUAUAUCAGUUAUAGUUUAUUUGAUAGUCCCUUACUACUUGGAUAACCGUAGUAACUCUAGAGCUAAUACAUGCGCAAAUUCCCGACUGUCGCAAGGCGGAAAGGAUGUAUUUAUUAGAUCCAACCAGCCCGGUUCGCCGGAGUCCCUGGUGAGUCAUAAUAACUGUUCGGAUCGUAUGGCUUUUUGCCGACGACAGAUCAUUCAAAUUUCUGCCCUAUCAGCUUUCGACGGUACUGUAGUGGACUACCGUGGCAUUAACGGGUGACGGAGAAUUAGGGUUCGAUUCCGGAGAGGGAGCCUGAGAAAUGGCUACCACAUCCAAGGAAGGCAGCAGG